ACACGUCGAUAAUCUGACUUAUGGUUUGGGAUAACCUUGAGAGAUUGAGGCUAACACCGAAUAGAGGAUUGAGGCUGGAACGCACUUUCCUUUAAAAGCAAUGCCAUAAGAUGAGUCGGCGGCUGAUUAGGUUGUUGGUGAGGUAAUGGCUCACCAAGCCGAAGAUCAGUAGGGGGAGUGAGAGCUCUAGCCCCGAGAAGGACACUGAGAAAAGGGUCCUAGUCCUAAGGGACGCAGCAGUCGCGAAAACUUUACAAUGCACGAAAGUGUGAUAAGGGAAUUCCAAGUGCUUUACCUACGGGUAAGGCUUUUGCCAAGUGAAAACAGCUUGGCGAAUAAGUGGUGGGCAAGACCGGUGCCAGCCGCCGCGGUAACCCCGGCGCCACAAGUGGGGAUCAUAUUUAUUGGGUCUAAAGCAUCUGUAGCCGGUUUAGAAACUCUCUUGUGAAAUCGUUGCGCUUAACGUAACGAAUUGCAAGAGAAACUUCUAGACUUGGGAUUGGGAGAGGAUAGAAGUAUUCUAGGGGGAGCGGUAAAAUGUGAUAAUCCCUAGAAGACUACCAAUGGCGAAGGCAUCUAUCUAGAACAAGUCCGACGGUGAGGGAUGAAGGCCAGGGGAGCGAUCCGGAUUAGAUACCCGAGUAGUCCUGGCAGUAAACGCUGUGAGCUAUGUGUUGCAUAUUCUUAGGGAAU
rnacentral:rRNA from 1 species